GGCCACCCACAUGUACUGAUGCCUUUCCUCACUCCUCCCUGUUGUCUGCUUCUCUCACCACUGGACUAGAGGAACAGGCAUACUCAGAGUUUCCCAUAAACACAGACUCUUAUGAACACCAAACAGAGAGAGACUAGGAGGGGAGGAAGCACACGAGCCAGGCUGCCGUGGGCUCAGCUCCUCGGGUGCCUCAGGUGUGUCCUCAUUGACCGCCUGCUCUGUCUGCUGCAAUUUACCAGCGGCAUCCAGGAAGCCGGACAGGGCAACUGGGACCCCUCUAAAUAGCAUGUAUCUGCUCUCAUUCCCUCGUGUUUUCCUACCCAGAUGAAAAACCACAAGUCACAACCGGCUCCCAAAGGAAAGACCUGUUAGCCUCCAGACAUGUGAGUGAAGCCAUCCUGAAUCAUUCAACUGCCAGCCGACUCACCAGCUGACCACAGAUGCACAAGAUCCUAGCAGAGCUCAGCCAAGCUGUCCCGGACCAGAACUGCCCAGCCAGCCCGCAGAACUGUGACCUAAAUAAAUGGUCGUUGUUUUAAGCCACUUUUGGAGAUGAUUUGUUACUUUGUUGAUCGUUGUUUUAAGCCACUUUUGGAGAUGAUUU